CCUACGGGAGGCAGCAGUGGGGGAUAUUGCACAAUGGGGGGAACCCUGAUGCAGCGACGCCGCGUGGGUGAAGAAGCGCCUCGGCGCGUAAAGCCCUGUCUGCAGGGAAGAAAAUGACGGUACCUGAAGAAGAAGCCCCGGCUAACUACGUGCCGGCAGCCGCGGUAAUACGUAGGGGGCAAGCGUUAUCCGGAUUUACUGGGGGUAAAGGGGGCGCAGACGGCGAUGCAAGCCAGGAGGGAAAGCCCGGGGGCCAACCCCGGGACUGCCCUUGGAACUGCGUGGCUGGAGUGCAGGAGGGGCAGGCGGAAUGCCUGGUGUAGCGGUGAAAUGCGUAGAUAUCAGGAGGAACACCGGUGGCGAAGGCGGCCUGCUGGACUGCAACUGACGUUGAGGCCCGAAAGCGUGGGGAGCAAACAGGAUUAGAUACCCUAGUAGUC
rnacentral:rRNA from 1 species